AUGUCUAAGUCAGAGUCUCCUAAUGAGCCCAAACAGCUGAGGAAAUUCUUCAUUGGAGGUUGAGCUCUACAUUGGUUGACCAAUGAGAGCCUGAGGAGCCAUUUUGAGCAAUGGGGAAUGCUCAUGGAUUGCGUGGUAAUGAGAGAUCCAAAUACCAAGCGCUCAAGGGACUUUGGGUUUGUCACAUAUGCCACUGUGGAGGAGGUGGAUGCAGCCAUGAAUGCAAGGCCAUACAAGGUGGAUGGAAGAGUUGUGGAACCAAAGAGAGCUGUCUCAAGAGAAGAUUCUCAAAGACCAGAUGCCCACCCAACUGUGAAAAAGAUAUUUGUUGGUGGCAUUAAAGACACUGAAGAACAUCACCUAGGAGAUUAUUUUGAAUAGUAUGGAAAAAUUGAAGUGAUUGAAAUCAUGACUGACCAAGGCAGUGAUAAGAAAAGGGGCUUUGCUUUAGUAACUUUUGACGACCAUGACUCCAUGGGUAAGACUGUCACUGAGAAAUACCCAUACUGUGAAUGGCCACACUUGUGAAGUUAGGAAAGCCCUGUCAAAGCAAGAGAUGGUGAGUGCUUCAUCCAGCCAAAGAGGCAAAGCAGCUCUGGGAACUUUGGUGGUGGUCGUGGAGGUAGUUUCGGUGGGAAUGACAACUUUGGUCGUGGAGGAAACUUCAGUGGUCAUUGUGGCUUUGGUGGCAGCUGUGGUGGUGGUGGAUAUAGUGGCAGUGGGGAUGGCUAUAAUGGAUUUGGUAAUCAUGGAAGCAAUUUUGGAGGUGGUGUAAUGAUUUUGGCAAUUACAACAAUUAGUUUUACAUUUUGGACCCAUGAAGGGAGGAAACUUUGGAGGCAGAAGCUCUGGCCCCUAUGCUGGUACAGGCCAGUACUUUGCCAAACCAUGAAACCAAGGUGGCUAUGGCAGUUCCAGUAGCAGCAGUAGCUACAGCAGUGGCAGAAGAU
rnacentral:lncRNA from 1 species